rnacentral:tRNA from 1 species
UGGGAUGUGGCUCCGCGGUAGAGCGCUUGCCUGGCAUACAUGAAACUCUGGGUUCCAAUCCUCAGCACCUCAG